CGCUAGCGGCAGGCUUAACACAUGCAAGUCGAGGGGUAACAGGAGGUGCUUGCACUUCGCUGACGACCGGCGCACGGGUGCGUAACGCGUAUACAAUCUACCUUUUGCUGAGGGAUAGCCCAGAGAAAUUUGGAUUAAUACCUCAUGGUAUGUAGUAAUGGCAUCAUUACUAUAUUAAAGGUUACGGCAAAAGAUGAGUAUGCGUUCUAUUAGCUAGAUGGUAAGGUAACGGCUUACCAUGGCGACGAUAGAUAGGGGCCCUGAGAGGGGGAUCCCCCACACUGGUACUGAGACACGGACCAGACUCCUACGGGAGGCAGCAGUGAGGAAUAUUGGACAAUGGGCGCAAGCCUGAUCCAGCCAUGCCGCGUGCAGGAAGACUGCCCUAUGGGUUGUAAACUGCUUUUAUACAGGAAGAAACACUCCCUCGUGAGGGAGCUUGACGGUACUGUAAGAAUAAGGAUCGGC
rnacentral:rRNA from 1 species